rnacentral:rRNA from 1 species
CCAGCUUCCAAUAGCGUAUAUUAAAGUUGUUGCAGUUAAAAAGCUCGUAGUUGGAUUUCGGAGCAUUCACGAUGCUGACCGCUGAAACGGCGUGUUCGGCGCGUGGAUCUCCUCUUCUUGGGGAUACAAGUGGGUGGCGGGUAAAACCGUCAUUCGCUCCCCAUCGUUUACUUUGAGAAAAUUGGAGUGCUCAAAGCAGGCACAACCCUGCCUUGAACAAUGCAGCAUGGGAUAAUAGAACAGGACGAAGGUCCUAUUUUGUUGGUUUCUAGGGCUUUUGUAAUGAUUAAAAGGGACAGUUGGGGGCAUUCGUAUUCAAUUGUCAGAGGUGAAAUUCUAGGAUUAAUUGAAGACGAACUACUGCGAAAGCAUUUGCCAAGGAUGUUUUCAUUAAUCAAGAACGAAAGUAGGGGGAUCGAAGAUGAUCAGAUACCGUCGUAGUCUCUACCAUAAACGAUGCCGACCAGGGAUCCGGAGAAGUUACGUGGAUGACUCCCCGGGCACCUUGUGAGAAAUCAUA